GAAAGACUUUCACUUCUGCUCCCUCUUCCCGGCUCCCUUGGCCAAGAGCCGCACUCCUUCCUUAAUCCUUCCUGCUGUUUCUCUUGGCGCUGGGGUGCCUGUGGUCCUUUGGAUGAUUAUGGAACUAGGUACUGCCCCUUCUCAUGGGAUCUUCUCUGUUGGUAAUGGCCUUGGACCGGCAACCUGCAAAGGGAGGUGGACCCUGAGCCAGCAGGACGUGAAAUGUGGGCAAAUGUGGGCAAAUCUCCCUUCUGGUCGAAGUAUUAAGAACCUUACUUGCAGGGGCCUGCUCUUUUCUCUUUUCUUGGCCACAAGACUGUUAUACCUACCACUUUGUGUUGGACAGGAUAACGGUCCCCCAAAGAUGUGUGUCCCAAUCCCCGAACCUCCGAAAGGCUACCUUCCAUAGCAAAAGAGACUUCGCAGAUGUGAUUAAAUGUAAGGCUCUUGAGAUGGGGACAUCGGCGUGGACUGUCCAGGUGGGCUUGGUGUCAUCACAAGGAGAACCAGAGUCAGAGGCAAGAGAGAUGAGAGCCGAGGAAGGAGUGAUGGGAUUGAUGACUGGCUGGAAACGGCAAGGAAAUGGAUUCUCACCUGGAGCCUUCAAAGGAACAGCCUGCUGACACCCCGAUGAUGUUAGCCCCCUUUCAAGCUUCCGACCUUCAAAACCAUCAGAUCGUGAAAAAUGCUGUGAAGGGAAAAGAUACAGGGAGGAGAGUUCAGGAAGCCUUGCUCGGGACACGGUGUAUGAGGACAAAGCUGAAGUCCAGCUGCUCAGCGGCUCACCAGCACUCUCAGGGACCCCGGCUCUCUCCAUUGUGUAUUCCGCUCCAUCCCUGGCAUCUGCCUUCAUCAUCAUGCUUGACGCCUCAUCCUAAGAUGUCCGCCACAGCUUCCAGCAUCCCAGCCAUGAUCAGGGCAGAUGUCAACGGGGAAAGGGUGCUAUCAUUUUAUCAGGAAGAGCAAAUGCCUGCUCAGAAACCAGCCCACUUUGACUUGCAUUUCAUUGGCCAGAACCCGGCACCUGGCACCUGGUGUAAGUUCAACAGGUAAAAGAAUGCUUGCUAUGCCCUGCCACCUGGUCCAUUUGCUCCUACCAUGUUUCCAGACUAAGACUGACCCAGUCCCCAGUUCCUGAAUCUAGCGUCAAGGUGGUCGUGAUGACAGACUCUAAAAUUCUUGUCACGAAAGUUCAAGCCUGCGGUGGUGUGAUGCAGUGGAAAGACCACGGUCCUGGAGUCAGACAGACCCAGUGUGAAUUUUGGCUCUAACCUGUGCUAGCCCUGGGACCUGGGGCAAACCACUCCCUUCUGCAAGUUUCAGUUUCCUCCCUGAAAAAAUGAGCAUAAUAACAUCACCUCCUUCAUAGUAUCAGUGUGAAGAUCUAAUGAAUUACAUGACAGGUCGUCUGUAGAAGUCAGGUGUUCGUUUUUGCUGUGACUGACUCGUAGGGGAGCCAGCAGGCAGCGGGCGAGGCUGGCCACGGGCUUAGGUGUGACGCAGACUCACCGUCUCCAGCCUGAGAGCAGAGUGGCGUCUGCCCACAUUCACCACCCUGUUCCCAGCACCCUGCACA